GGAGGGGAAAUUCUAUCUGGUGAUAGACGGGAACUCUAAAUUCCUUGAAAUGCCUCGCCGCAUUGGGUUCGAUUCCCUUCCCCUCCGCCA
rnacentral:tRNA from 1 species